UACGGGGGGUGCGAGCGUUGUCCGGAAUCACUGGGCGUAAAGGGCGCGUAGGUGGUUUGAUAAGGGUGUGGUGAAAGCCCGGGGCUCAACCCCGGGUCUGCCGUGCCGACUGUCAAACUCGAGGGCUGUAGAGGCAGACGGAAUUCCGGGUGUAGCGGUGGAAUGCGUAGAGAUCCGGAGGAAGACCGGUGGCGAAGGCGGUCUGCUGGGCAGUUUCUGACACUGAGGAGCGAAAGCGUGGGGAGCGAACAGG
rnacentral:rRNA from 1 species